rnacentral:lncRNA from 1 species
AUUCAAUCAAACUCCUCUGUAUACUUCAAUCAAAUUCUCAAACUUAUUUUCUCCCUUAUGGAUAACAGCAAUGAAAAUCUUGCAAACCAUGAAAUAGCUAUAGUCUUGGUUCCAUUUCCAGCUCAAAGCCAUCUCAAUCAACUUCUCCAACUUGCCUGUAUAAUCACUUCGUCAUAUAAACUUCCGGUAUAUUAUGUUGGUUCAGCCACUCAUAAUCUUCAAGCUCGUGUUCGAGCCAACGCCUUAAAUCCUUCAGACAUAGCCAAAAUCCAUUUCCAUGAUCUCCUAACUCCUGAUUUUGCUUCCCCUAAACCUGAUCCUAAUGCACUUGCUAAUUCUAAGCUUCUGCGUGAGCCUAUUGCUUCUUUCCUUCGAGACAUUUCGUCUAAAUCAAGACGAGUUAUCGUUGUUCAUGAUGUUUUAAUGUCAUGUAAUGUUCAGGAUGUUUCUUCCUUGGAUAAUGUUGAGUCUUAUAUAUUUAACUGUGUAUCUGUUUUCUUUAUGUAUUGUAGUUUUAUAUGCAUACCUAAAGUAGCCAAAAUCCAUUUCCAUCAACUUGCCUGUAUAAUCACUUCGUCAUAUAAACUUCCGGUAUAUUAUGUUGGUUCAGCCACUCAUAAUCUUCAAGCUCGUGUUCGAGCCAACGCCUUAAAUCCUUCAGACAUAGCCAAAAUCCAUUUCCAUAAUCUCCCAACUCCUGAUUUUGCUUCCCCUAAACCUGAUCCUAAUGCACUGAACAAAUUCCCAUCUCAACUUUUCCCAUCCUAUGAUGCUAAUUCUAAGCUUCUGCGCGAGCCUAUCGCUUCUUUCCUUCGAGACAUUUCGUCUAAAUCAAGACGAGUUAUCGUUGUUCACGAUGUUUUAAUGUCAUAUAAUGUUCAGGAUGUUUCUUCUUUGCAUAAUGUUGAGUCCUAUAUAUUUAACUGUGUUUCUGUUUUCUUUAUGUAUUGUAGUUUCAUAUGCUUCCCUAAAGGAAUGCCUAUUCCACUUGAAGAUGAAUUACUUGAAAAGUUACCUUCACUUGAAUCAGAUGCACCUGAAGAGAUUAACAAGUUAGUAACCUUUCAACUACAGUAUAGAGAUAUUAGAUGUGGUGAUUUAUACAAUUCAAAUAAAGUACUUGAAGGUAACUUUCUUGAUUUGAUGGCAAAAUUUGCUAGAAC